CACGUAGGGUGCGAGCGUUGUCCGGAUUCAUUGGGCGUAAAGCGCGCGUAGGCGGCCCCGCAAGUCGGCCGUGAAAUCUCCGGGCUCAACUCGGAGGGGUCGGGCGAGACUGCGGGGCUCGAGGUGGGCAGAGGGCAGUGGAAUUCCGGGUGUAGUGGUGGAAUGCGUAGAGAUCCGGAGGAACACCAGUGGCGAAGGCGGCUGCCUGGGCCUGGCCUGACGCUGAGGCGCGAAAGCGUGGGGAGCGAUCCGG
rnacentral:rRNA from 1 species